rnacentral:rRNA from 1 species
GACGAACGCUGGCGGCGUGCUUAACACAUGCAAGUCGAGCGGUAAGGCCCUUUCGGGGGGUACACGAGCGGCGAACGGGUGAGUAACACGUGGGUGACCUGCCCUCAGCUCUGGGAUAAGCCUGGGAAACCGGGUCUAAUACUGGAUAUGACUCCAUGACGCAUGUUGUGGGGUGGAAAGCCUUGUGCGGCUGAGGAUGGGCCCGCGGCCUAUCAGCUUGUUGGCGGGGUGAUGGCCUACCAAGGCGACGACGGGUAGCCGGCCUGAGAGGGCGACCGGCCACACUGGGACUGAGACACGGCCCAGACUCCUACGGGAGGCAGCAGUGGGGAAUAUUGGACAAUGGGCGCAAGCCUGAUCCAGCCAUGCCGCGUGAGUGAAG